AUUAACAUAAAAUAAUAUGUUAACUUCGGACUAUUAUGUUCACAAUUGACAAUGACAACUGACAUUUGUCUAUGAAGUGUCACUCGCAGGAAUUUUUUUUAGAAAAGAAAAGAAAGAAAUACAGAAAGUGACGAGAAAGAAUAUAAACCAAGAAGAAAUUCAGCCUGGAAAUAUGAAAGUCUGGUCAGAUCCAUUUGGACGGAAGAAAGCCGACAUAGACUAAAUUGUCAAAUGUACAGUUCUAUUAAAUGUAAUUAUAAGUAAUUGUAGAUUGUGUAAAUAAAUAAAGUUGUGAUA